rnacentral:sRNA from 1 species
GGAAAUAGGUGGUGAUGGGCAGACAACAGAUGGCACUGAGCCCUCCCACAUGCACUAUGCACUAGAUGAGAAUUAUUUCCGAGGAUAUGAGUGGUGGUUAAUGAAGGAAGCUAAGAAGAGGAAUCCCAAUAUUACACUCAUUGGGUUGCCAUGGUCAUUCCCUGGAUGGCUGGGAAAAGGUUUCAACUGGCCUUAUGUCAAUCUUCAGCUGACUGCCUAUUAUGUCGUGACCUGGAUUGUGGGCGCCAAGCGUUAUCAUGAUUUGGACAUUGAUUAUAUUGGAAUUUGGAAUGAGAGGUCAUAUAAUGCCAAUUAUAUUAAGGAUUUUGGAGAAUAGGUGGUAUUUGGUUACAUGAGUAAAUUCCUUAGUGGUUAUUUGUGAGACUUUGGUGCACCCAUCACUGGAGCAGUAUACACUGAACCAAAUUUGUAGUCUUUUAUCCCUCACCUCCUUCCCAUCCUUUCCCCCUGAGUCCCUAAAGUCCAUUGUAUCAUUCUUAUGCCUUUGCAUCCUCAUAGCUUAGCUCCCACUUAUGAGUGAGAACAUACGAUGUUUUGUUUUCCAUUCC